GCGGCGGCCGAACGCGGUGCGCCUGCGCGGGUCCGGCUGCCGCGGCCGCCGGAGCUGAGCGAGAGGAGGGGGAGCGGCGAGUGGACGCGCGGAGCACCAUGGGAGGGGGCCCUGCGCGCCAACUUCAAACGGUGCCGUGGCCGUAACGUCACUGACUGAUUCGCACGCACGACGUAGGGGCGUAACGUGCUGCGUCGUGCGUGCGCUCUAGUAGUCAGCUGGGUGGAAGGACGGUUGAGGGGAAGCUCAGGCCGCGGUGGGUGAGAGGCCGCGCGCCCGGGCUGAGCCUGUCAGGACCCGGCUGGAGCGAUCCAGCUCUUCCCCGGAGGGGGGAUGAAAGGGCUUGAGGGUACCCCACAGGAAGGAAUUCUCAAGUGCACCUUGGGUGGUGGCAAGGUCCAAGGUCAGAGAGAAGCUGUAUCCUUGGGAGUUUAAUACAAGCCUGGAGUGUGGUGCUCUGUGGAAAAAGACUUCAGGAGAUGAUCUCGUUUGCAUGGACACACCCACCCUGCCUAUUUGCUCAGCAUGAUUGGAUUGCUUACCCAAAUGAUCACUUGUGGCUGGUAU